UGUUGUUUUUUUGGGCGUUCGGUGGAUGCCUUGGCAUCAGGGGCCGAUGAAGGACGUGGUGGCCUGCGAUAAGCCUCGGGGAGCCGGCUAGCGGGCUGUGAUCCGAGGGUGUCCGAAUGGGGGGACCCGGCACUUGUUAUGGGGUGUCACCUGCAUCUGAAUUGAUAGGGUGUGGGGGGUUACGCGGGGAAGUGAAACAUCUUAGUACCCGUAGGAGAAGAUAUUCCGUGAGUAGUGGCGAGCGAAAGCGGAUGAUGGCUAAACCGUUGUCGUGUGGUGACCCGGCAGGGGCUGCGGCGGCGGGGUUGUUGGGGUGCGUCUGUUCUCAUCUCUGCCGGGGUGGGGCGCGUGUGUGGCUGGGUAGCUGAACCGUCUGGGAUGGCGGGCCGGAGUGGGUGAGAGCCCUGUAGGCGGAACCUGGUUGUGUGCGUGUAGGGCGUUCUCCCGUUGUAGCACGGGGCUCGUGGAAUCCUGUGUGAGUCUGCCAAGACCACUUGGUUGCCUGAAUACUUCCUGAUGACCGAUAGCGGAUGAGUACCGUGAGGGAAUGGUGAAAAGUACCCCGGGAGGGGAGUGAAAGAGUACCUGAAACCGGGCGCCUGCAAGCCGUCAGAGCCUCCCGCCUUGCCUUGUGUGGGGUGGGGGUGGUGGCGUGCCUAUUGAAGAAUGAGCCUGCGAGUCAUUGCCGUGUCGCGAGGUUAACCCGGGUAGGGGUAGUCGUAGCGAAAGCGAGUCUGAACAGGGCGGUUGUGAGUGGCGCGGUAUGGACCCGAAGCGGGGUGAUCUACCCAUGGCCAGGUUGAGGCGUGUGUAAGAGCGCGUGGAGGACCGUACCCACCUGGGUUGAAAACCGGGGGGAUGAGCUGUGGGUAGGGGUGAAAGGCCAAUCAGACUCCGUGAUAGCUGGUUCUCCCCGAAAUGCAUUUUGGUGCAGCGUCGCGUGUUGCCCGGCGGAGGUAGAGCUACUGGGUGGCUGAGGGGCCUUACAGGGUUACUGAGGUCAGCCAAACUCCGAAUGCCGUGCGGGUGUGUAGCGUGGCAGUGAGACUGCGGGGGAUAAGCUUCGUGGUCGAGAGGGAAACAGCCCGGAUCGCCGGCUAAGGCCCCUAAGCGUGUGCUAAGUGGGAAAGGAUGUGCGGUCGCGCAGACAACCAGGAGGUUGGCUUAGAAGCAGCCAUCCUUGAAAGAGUGCGUAAUAGCUCACUGGUCGAGUGGUCGUGCGCCGACAAUGUAGCGGGGCUCAAGCACACCGCCGAAGCCGCGGACCCCCAACAUAGUCCCUUCAGGCCGGUUGUUACCGGUUUGGCAGGGGUUGGGGGUGGUAGGGGAGCGUCCUGCACUGGGUGAAGCCUGGGGGUGACCUGCGGGUGGACGGUGCGGGAGUGAGAAUGCAGGCAUGAGUAGCGAUGACUAGGGUGAGAAGCCCUAGCGCCGAGAGACCAAGGGUUCCAGGGCCAGGCUAGUCCGCCCUGGGUGAGUCGGGACCUAAGGCGAGGCCGACAGGCGUAGUCGAUGGAUGACGGGUUGAUAUUCCCGUACCGGCGAAGGACCGACCAUGCUGACGCGCGGGUGCUAACCCACGCUGCCGGCCCAUAUUGUGGCCGCACCUGACCAUGUGUGGUGGGUGUGGCUGGUGUGGCUGGUGGUCUGGGGAUCCUCCGUGCUGGUAGGCAAGCGUGUUAACAGGGGUGACGCACAGUGGUAGCCCGGCGGGCCUAAUGGCUUGGCCUGUUCAAGCGCGCAGCCCGGUCCCUAGGUAAAUCCGGGGGCCAGCCUCAUGCGUGGGGCGCAGGUGAGGCGUGAUGGUGACCGGUAGCCGUGUGCUGCUGGGAUAACAGGGUGAUCCUGGGGUGCCGAGAAAAGCCUCGACGCGAUGGUCUAAGCCGCCCGUACCCGAAACCGACACAGGUGGUCCGGCAGAGUAUGCCUAGGCGAACGAGUGAACCGUGGUGAAGGAACUCGGCAAAAUGCCCCCGUAACUUCGGGAGAAGGGGGGCCCGGACCUUGAAGCAGCUGGCCUGCUAGGGGUGAGGGCCGCAGAGACCAGGGGGGAGCGACUGUUUACUAAAAACACAGGUCCGUGCGAAGCCGUAAGGCGAGGUAUACGGACUGACGCCUGCCCGGUGCUGGAAGGUUAAGAGGAUCCCUCAACCCCACCCGUGGGGUGAAGGGGUGAGUUCAAGCCCCAGUAAACGGCGGUGGUAACUAUAACCAUCCUAAGGUAGCGAAAUUCCUUGUCGGGUAAGUUCCGACCUGCACGAAUGGCGUAACGACUUCCCCACUGUCUCCACCACGGGCUCGGCGAAAUUGCAUUACGAGUAAAGAUGCUCGUUACGCGCAGAAGGACGGAAAGACCCCGGGACCUUUACUAUAGCUUGGUAUUGGCGUCCGCCAUGGUUUGUGCAGGAUAGGUGGGAGACUGUGAGACCGCCACGCUAGUGGUGGUGGAGUCAUUGUUGAGAUACCACUCUGGCUGUGGCGUGCGCCUGAACCUCGGCCCGUGAUCCGGGUCAGGGACAGUGCCUGGUGGGUAGUUUAACUGGGGCGGUUGCCUCCUAAAAAGUAACGGAGGCGCUCAAAGGUUCCCUCAGCCUGGUCGGUAACCAGGUGGCGAGUGCAAGUGCACAAGGGAGCUUGACUGCGAGACCGACACGUCAAGCAGGUACGAAAGUAGGAACUAGUGAUCCGGCGAUCCCGUGUGGAUGGGUCGUCGCUCAACGGAUAAAAGGUACCCCGGGGAUAACAGGCUGAUCCUGCCCAAGAGUCCAUAUCGACGGCAUGGUUUGGCACCUCGAUGUCGGCUCGUCGCAUCCUGGGGCUGGAGCAGGUCCCAAGGGUUGGGCUGUUCGCCCAUUAAAGCGGUACGCGAGCUGGGUUUAGAACGUCGUGAGACAGUUCGGUCCCUAUCCUCUGCGCGCGCAGGAGACUUGAGAAGGCCUGUCCCUAGUACGAGAGGACCGGGACGGACGAACCUCUAGUGCGCCAGUUGUCCCGCCCGGGGCACCGCUGGUUAGCCACGUUCGGAUACGGAUAACCGCUGAAAGCAUCUAAGCGGGAAACCAUCUUCAAGACCAGGUCUCCACACACCACCAUGGUGUGGAAGGCCCCCAGCAGACCACUGGGUAGAUAGGCCAGACGUGCACGAUCGGUAACGAUCGAAGCUGACUGGUACUAACCGGCCGACACAACACACA
rnacentral:rRNA from 1 species